UUCAACGGUCAUCGUUAAUGUGGUGGAAUAUCCACAAACACCAUGUUGUGGUAUGACGAGACAAAGGGAAAGCUUAGACAACAUCAGGUCAUUCAUAGGUCGCAGGUCAGGGGACGAGAAUAUUCGGCCAGUCUCUAAUAACCAAAUCUGUUCGUGUAUAAUU